GUCCCUCUUUCUGCCUCGUCUUCUCUCAUGCCCCCAGACAGCUAUGCCAACAGUUUUCACUGUGAUAUGGUUGUGCUUGAGGGGUACGUGACUCAUCACAGGGGAUUUCUAUCGCUGGAACAAUCCUUGACUUAGUGAGCAGCUGCCUAGUUACAAAUGACACACCUGGUAGCUGGGGAAGAAGGUGUUCUGCUGUGCCUGUUGCUCUGGGAGCUGAUGGGAUCCUGCACUGCUGGGGAAGGAGGAACAAAGCUAUCAGGUCACCUGUCUGCUUGCGGAUGAUGCUAACAAGCACCGACGUGGGCUGCUUGGACAUCCAGACACGGCUCCAGGGCUGCUGCGGUCUGCAAAUCCACCCAAGAGACUGAGGAAAUUUUGCCAGAUGGAACUCUCAGAAAAACCAGCAGUUGUGGACAAGGGGCCUUCAGGCCUGAGUUGAGGUCUGCUCCUUUUACCAAGAAUUUCAUCCGCUGGAAGUUCUGCUUAGGGCCAACUUCUUAACUCACUGUAAAUAGACACAAUCAUUGUGUUUGCCUAUUUUCUCACUUAGGCUAGUCUACAUGCUACACUUUGGAAACCAUUGCAGAAAGUCAAACAAAAUAUAUCUUGAUGUUUACUCUAUGGUGAAGAGGAGCUCCAGAAUCUAGCAAAAAGCAGUAUCAACAGAAGGUGCAAAAGUACAUUUGAAGUUCACAAUGUCACAAAAAG
ensembl:lncRNA